rnacentral:lncRNA from 1 species
AACACAGGAUCUUUUUAACAGAUCUCAACUGUUAAAUAUAAAAUUAUUUAAAUACCGUUCCUUAACAGCUUAAGCUUUUUAGAAUACGACAGUUGUUUCACAUGGUAUCAGAAAAAAAAGGUCCUGAAUUCGAGUUACACCAGGCUCCUAGCAUAUUAAUUUCCUCCCAUUUAAUUCAAGCCCACGUCAUGGGCCGACUAAAAAGUCUCGAACCCAGACGCGAGGAGUGUUAAAUAUAAAAAUGUUUAAACACCGUUCCCUCACAGCUUACGCUUUUAGAGUCAAAUUCUGAAUCAAAAUCUGCAGGAAAUAAUACUGAAUCUUAUAGAAAUCUAAUCAAAGGGAUUGAUCG